AGAACUCUGGAGAAUCCCGACAGGGUGCCGAAGGUGCAAAGUGGUUUCACUAAUCUCUCAGGCAAAAGGACAGAGAAUGAA
rnacentral:ncRNA from 1 species